rnacentral:rRNA from 1 species
UACAGAGGGGGCGAGCGUUGUUCGGAAUUACUGGGCGUAAAGGGCGCGUAGGCGGCCUUCUAAGUCGGACGUGAAAUCCCUCGGCUCAACCGAGGAACUGCGUCCGAUACUGGUUGGCUUGAAUUCGGGAGAGGGAUGCGGAAUUCCAGGUGUAGCGGUGAAAUGCGUAGAUAUCUGGAGGAACACCGGUGGCGAAGGCGGCAUCCUGGACCGAUAUUGACGCUGAGGAGCGAAAGCGUGGGGAGCGAACAGG